AGGAUAAUAGUAGUUAAUUAUAACAUUUGGGUUGCAUUCAAAAAGUACUAAUAUUUAGUUUAUCUU
rnacentral:tRNA from 1 species